rnacentral:rRNA from 1 species
UUUAGUUGCUGGGUAUAGACCCGAAACCAGGCGAUCUAUCCAUGAGCAGGUUGAAGGUUGGGUAACACUAACUGGAGGACCGAACCCACUGUCGUUGAAAAGCCAGGGGAUGACUUGUGGAUAGGGGUGAAAGGCUAAUCAAGCCUGGUGAUAGCUGGUUCUCCCCGAAAGCUAUUUAGGUAGCGCCUCGGACGAAUACCAUAGGGGGUAGAGCACUGUUUCGGCUAGGGGGUCAUCCCGACUUACCAAACCGAUGCAAACUCCGAAUACCUAUGAGUACUAUCCGGGAGACAGACUGCGGGUGCUAACGUCCGUAGUCAAGAGGAAAACAAUCCAGACCGCCAGCUAAGGCCCCAAAAUCAUAGUUAAGUGGGAAACGAUGUGGGAAGGCAUAGACAGCUAGGAGGUUGGCUUAGAAGCAGCCACCCUUUAAAGAAAGCGUAAUAGCUCACUAGUCGAGUCGGCCUGCGCGGAAGAUGUAACGGGGCUAAAACUAUGUGCCGAAGCUGCGGAUGUAUACUUUGUAUACGUGGUAGGGGAGCGUUCUGUAAGCCGAUGAAGGUGUGUUGAGAAGCAUGCUGGAGGUAUCAGAAGUGCGAAUGCUGACGUGAGUAACGACAAAACGGGUGAAAAACCCGUUCGCCGAAAGACCAAGGGUUCCAGUCCAACGUUAAUCGGGGCUGGGUGAGUCGACCCCUAAGGCGAGGCCGAAAGGCGUAGUCGAUGGGAAAAUGGUUAAUAUUCCAUUACUUCUGUGUAAUGCGAUGAGAGGACGGAGAAGGCUAAAUCAGCCUGGCGUUGGUUGUCCAGGUGAAAGGAUGUAGGCAUGUAUCUUAGGCAAAUCCGGGGUACUCUAUGCUGAGAUCUGAUAGCAAGCUGUACUUGUACAGCGAAGUGGUUGAUGCCAUGCUUCCAGGAAAAGUCUCUAAGCUUCAGUUACACAGGAAUCGUACCCGAAACCGACACAGGUGGUCAGGUCGAGUAGACCAAGGCGCUUGAGAGAACUCUGCUGAAGGAACUAGGCAAAAUGGUACCGUAACUUCGGGAGAAGGUACGCUGUUGUUGGUGAUGGAACUCGCUUCCUGAGCUGACGACAGCCGCAGAAACCAGGCCGCUGCAACUGUUUAUUAAAAACAUAGCACUCUGCAAACACGAAAGUGGACGUAUAGGGUGUGAUGCCUGCCCGGUGCUGGAAGGUUAAUUGAUGGGGUUAGCGUAAGCGAAGCUCUUGAUCGAAGCCCCAGUAAACGGCGGCCGUAACUAUAACGGUCCUAAGGUAGCGAAAUUCCUUGUCGGGUAAGUUCCGACCUGCACGAAUGGCAUAAUGAUGGCGGCGCUGUCUCCAGCAGAGGCUCAGUGAAAUCGAAAUCGCUGUGAAGAUGCAGUGUACCCGCGGCUAGACGGAAAGACCCCGUGAACCUUUACUGCAGCUUGACACUGAACUUUGACCUUACUUGUGUAGGAUAGGUGGGAGGCUUUGAAGCUGGAACGCUAGUUCCAGUGGAGCCGUCCUUGAAAUACCACCCUGGUAAUGUUGAGGUUCUAACUCUGUCCCGUGAUCCGGGACGAGGACCGUGUCUGGUGGGUAGUUUGACUGGGGCGGUCUCCUCCUAAAGAGUAACGGAGGAGUACGAAGGUGCGCUCAGCGUGGUCGGAAAUCACGCGUAGAGUAUAAAGGCAAAAGCGCGCUUAACUGCGAGACCCACAAGUCGAGCAGGUACGAAAGUAGGUCUUAGUGAUCCGGUGGUUCUGUAUGGAAGGGCCAUCGCUCAACGGAUAAAAGGUACUCUGGGGAUAACAGGCUGAUACCGCCCAAGAGUUCAUAUCGACGGCGGUGUUUGGCACCUCGAUGUCGGCUCAUCUCAUCCUGGGGCUGAAGCAGGUCCCAAGGGUAUGGCUGUUCGCCAUUUAAAGAGGUACGCGAGCUGGGUUUAGAACGUCGUGAGACAGUUCGGUCCCUAUCUACCGUGGGCGCUGGAAAUUUGAGAGGAUCUGCUCCUAGUACGAGAGGACCAGAGUGGACGAACCUCUGGUGUACCGGUUGUGACGCCAGUCGCAUCGCCGGGUAGCUAUGUUCGGAAGGGAUAACCGCUGAAAGCAUCUAAGCGGGAAGCCUACCUCAAGAUAAGAUUUCCCUAGGACUUUAUGUCCUCUAAAGAGCCGUUCGAGACUAGGACGUUGAUAGGUUGGAUGUGGAAGCAUAGUGAUAUGUGAAGCUGACCAAUACUAAUUGCUCGUGAGGCUUGACUA